rnacentral:rRNA from 1 species
GAUGAACGCUGGCGGCGUGCCUAAUACAUGCAAGUCGAGCGAACAGACGAGGAGCUUGCUCCUCUGGCGUUAGCGGCGGACGGGUGAGUAACACGUGGAUAACCUACCUAUAAGACUGGGAUAACUUCGGGAAACCGGAGCUAAUACCGGAUAAUAUAUUGAACCGCAUGGUUCAAUAGUGAAAGACGGUUUUGCUGUCACUUAUAGAUGGAUCCGUGCCGCAUUAGCUAGUUGGUAAGGUAACGGCUUACCAAGGCAACGAUGCGUAGCCGACCUGAGAGGGUGAUCGGCCACACUGGAACUGAGACACGGUCCAGACUCCUACGGGAGGCAGCAGUAGGGAAUCUUCCGCAAUGGGCGAAAGCCUGACGGAGCAACGCCGCGUGAGUGAUGAAGGUCUUCGGAUCGUAAAACUCUGUUAUUAGGGAAGAACAAAUGUGUAAGUAACUAUGCACGUCUUGACGGUACCUAAUCAGAAAGCCACGGCUAACUACGUG